rnacentral:rRNA from 1 species
UACGCUCUCCAGGCAAUGUGCAGGCGCCUGACGCAUCCUCACAAUGUGCAUCCGUAGUCUAACGUGGUUCUAGUCGGUUCCGCGGACAUUCCCAGUUAUGUAUACUAUAAACACUUUAAAGUAACAGAAUGUAAACGCGUCUAACGCAUUUUAAUACAACUUUCAGCAACGGAUCUCUUGGCUCUCGCAUCGAUGAAGAACGCAGCGAAAUGCGAUAAGUAAUGUGAAUUGCAGAAUUCAGUGAAUCAUCGAAUCUUUGAACGCACCUUGCGCUCCUUGGUAUUCCGAGGAGCAUGCCUGUUUGAGUGUCAUGAAAUUCUCAACCCAUAAAUCCUUGUGGAAGUAUGGGCUUGGAUUUGGAGGUUUGCUGGGUCCCCUGGGGUCCGGCUCCUCUCGAACGCAUUAGCUUGAUUCCGUGCGGAUCGGCUCUCAGUGUGAUAAUUAUCUACGCUGUGACCGUGAAGCGUUUGGCGAGCUUCCAACCGUCUUUUUUGGACAACCCUUAUGACAUCUGACCUCAAAUCCAGGUAGG